ACACAUGCAAGUCGAGGGGCAGCAUGAUUUGUAGCAAUACAGAUUGAUGGCGACCGGCGCACGGGUGAGUAACGCGUAUGCAACUUACCUAUCAGAGGGGGAUAGCCCGGCGAAAGUCGGAUUAAUACCCCAUAAAACAGGGGUCCCGCAUGGGAAUAUUUGUUAAAGAUUCAUCGCUGAUAGAUAGGCAUGCGUUCCAUUAGGCAGUUGGCGGGGUAACGGCCCACCAAACCGACGAUGGAUAGGGGUUCUGAGAGGAAGGUCCCCCACAUUGGUACUGAGACACGGACCAAACUCCUACGGGAGGCAGCAGUGAGGAAUAUUGGUCAAUGGCCGAGAGGCUGAACCAGCCAAGUCGCGUGAAGGAAGAAGGAUCUAUGGUUUGUAAACUUCUUUUAUAGGGGAAUAAAGUGGAGGACGUGUCCUUUUUUGUAUGUACCCUAUGAAUAAGCAUCGGCUAACUCCGUGCCAGCAGCCGCGGUAAUACGGAGGAUGCGAGCGUUAUCCGGAUUUAUUGGGUUUAAAGGGUGCGUAGGUGGUGAUUUAAGUCAGCGGUGAAAGUUUGUGGCUCAACCAUAAAAUUGCCGUUGAAACUGGGUUACUUGAGUGUGUUUGAGGUAGGCGGAAUGCGUGGUGUAGCGGUGAAAUGCAUAGAUAUCACGCAGAACUCCGAUUGCGAAGGCAGCUUACUAAACCAUAACUGACACUGAAGCACGAAAGCGUGGGGAUCAAACAGGAUUAGAUACCCUGGUAGUCCACGCAGUAAACGAUGAUUACUAGGAGUUUGCGAUACAAUGUAAGCUCUACAGCGAAAGCGUUAAGUAAUCCACCUGGGGAGUACGCCGGCAACGGUGAAACUCAAAGGAAUUGACGGGGGCCCGCACAAGCGGAGGAACAUGUGG
rnacentral:rRNA from 1 species